GACGAACGCUGGCGGCGUGCUUAACACAUGCAAGUCGAACGGAAAGGCCCUGCGUUUUGUGGGGUGCUCGAGUGGCGAACGGGUGAGUAACACGUGAGUAACCUGCCCUUGACUUUGGGAUAACUUCAGGAAACUGGGGCUAAUACCGGAUAGGAGCUCCUGCUGCAUGGUGGGGGUUGGAAAGUUUCGGCGGUUGGGGAUGGACUCGCGGCUUAUCAGCUUGUUGGUGGGGUAGUGGCUUACCAAGGCUUUGACGGGUAGCCGGCCUGAGAGGGUGACCGGCCACAUUGGGACUGAGAUACGGCCCAGACUCCUACGGGAGGCAGCAGUGGGGAAUAUUGCACAAUGGGCGGAAGCCUGAUGCAGCAACGCCGCGUGCGGGAUGACGGCCUUCGGGUUGUAAACCGCUUUCGCCUGUGACGAAGCGUGAGUGACGGUAAUGGGUAAAGAAGCACCGGCUAACUACGUG
rnacentral:rRNA from 1 species